ACGACGCUGGCGGCGUGCCUAACACAUGCAAGUCGAGCGAGGUAUUUAUACCUAGCGGCGGACGGGUGAGUAACACGUGGGUAACCUGCCUCAUAGAGGGGAAUAGCCUUCCGAAAGGGAGAUUAAUACCGCAUAAUAUAUACCGGUAGCAUUAAUGGUAUAUCAAAGGAGAAAAUCCGCUAUGAGAUGGGCCCGCGGCGCAUUAGCUAGUUGGAGAGGUAACGGCUCACCAAGGCGACGAUGCGUAGCCGACCUGAGAGGGUGAUCGGCCACAUUGGAACUGAGACACGGUCCAGACUCCUACGGGAGGCAGCAGUGGGGAAUAUUGCACAAUGGGGGAAACCCUGAUGCAGCAACGCCGCGUGAAUGAUGACGGCCUUCGGGUUGUAAAGUUCUUUGAUUGGGGACGAAAAUGACGGUACCCAAAAAAACAAGCCACGGCUAACUACGUGCCAGCAGCCGCGGUAAUACGUAGGUGGCGAGCGUUGUCCGGAUUUACUGGGCGUAAAGGAUGCGUAGGU
rnacentral:rRNA from 1 species